rnacentral:rRNA from 1 species
CCCUUGACCCGGCGAUGUCCGAAUGGGGAAACCCAGUGCAAUCCGUUGCACUAUCGUUAACUGAAUACAUAGGUUAACGAGGCGAACCGGGGGAACUGAAACAUCUAAGUACCCCGAGGAAAAGAAAUCAACCGAGAUUCCCCCAGUAGCGGCGAGCGAACGGGGAGCAGCCCGGAGUCUGAAUCAGCUUGUGUGUUAGUGGAACGGUCUGGAAAGUCCGACGGUACAGGGUGAUA